CACAGUGAUCAGGUUACGAUGGAUUAGAUCAAUAAGAGCCACAUAGCUUGGUCACGUUGUC
rnacentral:pre_miRNA from 1 species